UCCGUAGGGGGCAAGCGUUGUCCGGAUUUACUGGGCGUAAAGAGCGCGCAGGCGGUCGUUCAAGUCGAGUGUGAAAGCCCCCGGCUCAACUGGGGAGGGUCACUCGAUACUGAUCGACUCGAAGGCAGAAGAGGGAAGCGGAAUUCCCGGUGUAGUGGUGAAAUGCGUAGAUAUCGGGAGGAACACCAGUGGCGAAGGCGGCUUUCUGGUCUGCUCUUGACGCUGAGGCGCGAAAGCUAGGGUAGCAAACGGG
rnacentral:rRNA from 1 species